rnacentral:rRNA from 1 species
GACGAACGCUGGCGGCGUGCUUAACACAUGCAAGUCGAACGGAAAGGCCCUGCUUUUGUGGGGUGCUCGAGUGGCGAACGGGUGAGUAACACGUGAGUCACCUGCCCUUUACUUUGGGAUAACUUCAGGCAACUGGGGCUAAUACCGGAUAGGAGCUCCUGCUGCAUGGUGGGGGUUGGAAAGUUUCGGCGGUUGGGGAUGGACUCGCGGCUUAUCAGCUUGUUGGUGGGGUAGUGGCUUACCAAGGCUUUGACGGGUAGCCGGCCUGAGAGGGUGACCGGCCACAUUGGGACUGAGAUACGGCCCAGACUCCUACGGGAGGCAGCAGUGGGGAAUAUUGCACAAUGGGCGGAAGCCUGAUGCAGCAACGCCGCGUGCGGGAUGACGGCCUUCGGGUUGUAAACCGCUUUCGCCUGUGACGAAGCGUGAGUGACGGUAAUGGGUAAAGAAGCACCGGCUAACUACGUG